rnacentral:lncRNA from 1 species
GUUUAGUCUCACCCUUCCUAUCAGAUCUGACAUCUAACUACUUGUUGAUUCUCACUUUUGUUUCACUAAAGGGUACCAGCCCUGAUCACUAAGUCUUGAGUGAGUUAAUAACUGUUUUUAUACUUCUCUUUUCGGACUUCCCUUUUACAAGUUACUGUAGAAAUCCACUGUGCAGUUCUUUAUCCUCUCCAAGUCCUUCUUCAAAAUUUUCUGCUUCUUUACCGUGUGUGGUACACCACAAAUACCUGCUCGUGGCUAGGCAGGUAGAAAGCUGUACUUUCAGCUUUUGAUGGGCCAAGAACUGCGUAUCUGCUCUUUUAUCUGGAUGAUGUUGCUCUAUCUAUUCCUCUUCCAGCCCUUUGGUUCAUCUGUUGUUGUGUAUGUUUCCCAGAUGAAGCUCUCCUCCAGCACGUUGUCAUGUUCGUGAGUGGACAAGUGCUAGGGACCAUCAGACUCUACCUUGCCAGAUAUGUGGAAGGAGAGUCAUAACAGAAGAGAUUCUCAUUAUAUUAAGGCCCCAGCGAGCUCUGAGGAUGGAGCGCCCCUGCCUUCCACAUGUGGGGAAUCCCGGCUGCAGACGCGUUGGAGGAGAACCCGCAUCUCAGCACAGCCAGUAACAUGCAACCUAACGCCCCCAGUGAUACCCAGCUCCUGCCAGUGCCCUGGGCAGGUCACUACAGAAAGGGCUCGUGUGCAAAGUUCCCAGGACUUAAAGCAUGAAGAGAUUCAAUACAUGAAAACAGGUACGGAUAAUGACUCUAAUACAGUUGCAGUCAGUAUGGAUUUCUUCUAACGGCCAGUACCAAUAAGCCUCUGGCAGUGGAAGACACCAACUUGCAAUAAAGAGCCAAGCCUGAAGAGCA